rnacentral:rRNA from 1 species
AACGAACGCUGGCGGCAGGCUUAACACAUGCAAGUCGAACGGAUGUAGCAAUACAUCAGUGGCAGACGGGUGAGUAACACGUGGGAACCUUCCUCGUUGUACGGGACAACUCAGGGAAAC